CCUACGGGUGGCAGCAGUGGGGAAUAUUGGGCAAUGGGCGCAAGCCUGACCCAGCAACGCCGCGUGAAGGAAGAAGGCUUUCGGGUUGUAAACUUCUUUUAAGAGGGAAGAGCAGAAGACGGUACCUCUUGAAUAAGCCACGGCUAACUACGUGCCAGCAGCUGCUGUAAUACGUAGGUGGCCAGCGUUGUCCGGAUUUACUGGGUGUAAGGGGUGUGUAGCCGGUCUGACAAGCCAGAUGUGAAAUUCCGGGGCUCAACCCCGGCCCUGCAUUUUAAACUGUUGGUCUUGAGUAUCGGGGAGGCAGGCGGAAUUCGUAGUGUAGCGGUGAAAUGCGUAGAUAUUAGGAAGAACACCAAUGGCGAAGGCGGCCUGCUGGACGAGAACUGACGGUGAGGCGCGAAAGCGUGGGGAGCAAACAGGAUUAGAUACCCGAGUAGUC
rnacentral:rRNA from 1 species